rnacentral:tRNA from 1 species
GGAGGUGUAGCUCAAGUGGCAGAGCGCAUGCUUAGCAAGCACGAGGUUCUGGGUUCAUCCUCAGUACCUCUU